UGUCGUGGGGGAUAACGUAGGGAAACUUACGCUAAUACCGCAUACGACCUACGGGUGAAAGCAGGGGAUCUUCGGACCUUGCGCGAUUGAAUGAGCCGAUGUCGGAUUAGCUAGUUGGCGGGGUAAAGGCCCACCAAGGCGACGAUCCGUAGCUGGUCUGAGAGGAUGAUCAGCCACACUGGAACUGAGACACGGUCCAGACUCCUACGGGAGGCAGCAGUGGGGAAUAUUGGACAAUGGGCGCAAGCCUGAUCCAGCCAUACCGCGUGGGUGAAGAAGGCCUUCGGGUUGUAAAGCCCUUUUGUUGGGAAAGAAAUCCAGCUGGCUAAUACCCGGUUGGGAUGACGGUACCCAAAGAAUAAGCACCGGCUAACUUCGUGCCAGCAGCCGCGGUAAUACGAAGGGUGCAAGCGUUACUCGGAAUUACUGGGCGUAAAGCGUGCGUAGGUGGUCGUUUAAGUCCGUUGUGAAAGCCCUGGGCUCAACCUGGGAACUGCAGUGGAUACUGGGCGACUAGAGUGUGGUAGAGGGUAGCGGAAUUCCUGGUGUAGCAGUGAAAUGCGUAGAGAUCAGGAGGAACAUCCAUGGCGAAGGCAGCUACCUGGACCAACACUGACACUGAGGCACGA
rnacentral:rRNA from 1 species